rnacentral:rRNA from 1 species
UACGAAGGGUGCAAGCGGUACUCGGAAUUACUGGGCGUAAAGCGUGCGUAGGUGGUUUGUUAAGUCUGCUGUGAAAGCCCCGGGCUCAACCUGGGAAUGGCAGUGGAUACUGGCAAGCUAGAGUGCGGUAGAGGGGUGUGGAAUUCCCGGUGUAGCGGUGAAAUGCGUAGAGAUCGGGAGGAACACCAGUGGCGAAGGCGGCACCCUGGACCAGCACUGACACUGAGGCACGAAAGCGUGGGGAGCAAACAGG